rnacentral:misc_RNA from 1 species
GGAAGUAAAGGUCGUAACAAGGUUUCCGUAGGUGAACCUGCGGAAGGAUCAUUAUUGUAUAACCGAGGUGCGAGGGCUGUCGCUGACCCGAAAGGUCGUGCACGUCCGAGUGCCCUCACACACAUCCAUCUCACCCCUAUGUGCACCACCGCGUGGGUCCCCCUUUGGCUUGUUCGGAGGGGGGCUUACGUUUUCACACAAACUUUGUAUGCAGUGUAGAAUGUAUUUUUUGUUUUUGCGAUCACGCAAUCAAUACAACUUUCAACAACGGAUCUCUUGGCUCUC